CAGCUGUCUUGGGUGAGUCCCCUGGUUCCCAGAGCUGGCCUUGGGCACAGUCUUUCUCUUCCCCUAUCAGAAAGCUGUAUCCCUGGAUGUUGAGAAUGGAACAACCACUGCCUUCACUCCUUGACAAGAAGUGACAAAAGCCAGUAAGAUUAGGAGACUGCAGUCCAUGGAGUUGAAGAAACAUAACCAAGUGAAAAAGCAAAUGAGACCCAGGGCCACAAUUCAUAACCAGCUUCCAACACCCUGUCCUCAUCAUCUUCACCUCAGCUUCCACCUGCUGUCAUCCAAGUAUCUCUGGGGGUUAUUCUGGUUUUCAUGGCCUGGCAUUUAAACUGCCCCCUGCUCCCAACCACAAUGCCAUGAUAUUUCCCAUUUUUAAAGAGAAUACAUAGAGCCCCUGGCAGCUGGACUC